UACCAGGGUGGAGGGCAUUCCAUAUCAUGGU
rnacentral:piRNA from 1 species